rnacentral:miRNA from 16 species
UUCCCAUGGAGAUAGCUUAGC